rnacentral:misc_RNA from 1 species
AAGUCGUAACAAGGUCUCCGUUGGUGAACCAGCGGAGGGAUCAUUAUCGAGUUGUAACAAACUCCUUAGACCCCACAUGCCUAACUUCGCUCGUCUCUUGCAUAACGGGAGGUGGCUUCCGGGGAGGAGGCCUGGAGCUUGGGCGUAUCCCAAGGGCCUGCCGGUCAGCAUGACACACAACUCUUUACUAUAUUUUAUAAUCUGAGUCUUCAAGAAAAUAAAUUAAAACUUUCAACAACGGAUCUCUUGGUUCUG